GAGGAGCCUGAUAUGGGAUCGUGCCCUGAGCGAAGCGCUUAACGACUGAGCUACCCAGGCAUAAACAAAUCGCUUUCAAACCCAAAGGUCUACCAAACUACCGUGAUGGAGAGAAGCAUUGCAUUUUAAUCCUGUGAGUACGUAAUUAAUACAAGGACACCUCCUCUUUGUGGUGUAGGCUGCUUGUCCGGGGUUGUACGGAGACAGUCCCCAUUUGUCUCUGUCCUUGAGGAGUCUGCCAUGGCAAGAGAGCAUGCUGACCCAAUGGAGACGCAGGGGCACAACGAAGAAAUCCCGGGCGCUGCCGGUGUCAGCGGGGACAAGGCAAGGGAACCCAGCACCUGCUGCUGCAGAUUGGGGCAAAACCCACAAGUCCUUCCAGGGAAACUGGGCAGGUGGCCCCGCAUGUCCCCCCCGGAAGGAGCCGGUGCAGGGGGCUGCCUGGGCUUCCCCUGGUCGCAGGUGAUGGCUGACACCCAGUCCUCAAGUUCUUCACAGGUACCCCAUGCAUGGACACAAAAUGAGCCCAUGGACCUUCCCACCUUCCAGCGCCUUUCAGCAUGGUGUGGUGUGAAUAGCACACAGGCCUGGCUGCAAGUCAUUGCUUCUGGGGACUCCCGGCUGGCUCAGCAGGUAGAGCCUGUGACUCUGGAUCUUGGGGGUGUGAGUUCAAACCCCACACUGGGUGUGGAGCCUCCUUAAAAAAAAAAAAAAAAAAAGAAUUGCUUCUUACUAACUAUGGACCUUCAGCAUGUUACUGAACUGCCCUGAACUUUAGUUACUGAUUCUGAAAAAUGGCAUUAUAAUACCGACCUCUCACUGUGAACCUUAAAUGAGACAGCGUCUCUAAAGCACCCAGCAUGGUCCCUGAUAAGCAGAAAAAACCAGGUCCUUUGGAUUAUGUGCCCAACCCCCAUCUCAUCUAAUGAAAGGAUCACUGACAUGACAUUCAUGCUCACACAGGAAGGGGCUUUGAGAAUCACCAUGUAAUUGGCUAGGAUGUGAAUCUAUGCUGUUUUAUCCCAAAAUAUCUUUUUUGAUGUCUUGUAAGAAAAAGGUUGGAGACUUUAAUGAAGGACUUAAAUGGACUUAAAUUCCAAGCUCAUUUUUAUCUAACUUGUAAAAAGUCAUUCAGUGUCAUGACCUCAGAGGCAGAGAGUUGAGCAAGGCCUUCUCCUUAUUUCCUGCCAUGUCAUCACACCGGUCCAUGCAAGGCCCCCCUUCUGUUAUUUUGUUUCCUUUUAGGAAUGUGCUCUUGAAAAUUAUGUAUUGUUUUGUGUACAUGCAUUUUAGAUUUACACACAUGGUUCUACUUCCAUAUUUCAUGUUCCCUAAUGUUUUUCAGUAGACACUAUGUUUUUAAGAUCUGUCCGCGUGGUUCUAUGUGUACAUCGGAUCCUUGCUUCCAACUGCUGGUGAUACCCCAUGUAUAACUACGGCAUUUGCUUUAUCCAUCUCCCAGAGGUGAGCACCCAGGCCGUCUCCAGUCCUCGCCAGCACCGACAGCCCUUAGCUGGCCUGCACACGUGCUCUUGUGGGCCGUGCGGGAAGUUCCUGGUUGAGCAUGCCCAGGAAGAGAAUUUCUGAGUCUUAGGAUAUGCAUGUCUCUCAUGUGGCUGCAUAGUUCCAGGCCAAGCGCUGGAAGAAUGCAAAAUGGUAAAUGUGUUCAAGGGUCAACAAGAAGCAGACGCUGUGAUCAAUGCGUGGUUGGCAUGGUCUUGCCGAUUGUAAUGGAGGAUGGAUGUCACCGGAUUAGAGGCAGUGCCAGGCAUGCGUUAGAGGGAUUCCUGGGAGCCACGGGAGUCACUGACUUACUACAACAGCCUUCCAUGCACUUGGCCUUGACCGACAAAGCUUCUCAGAGUAGGACUUGAUGGAGUGACCUCUGCUUGACCAUAGUUGGUCCACGUCUUAGCCAGCGUGGGCUGCUAUGACAGAACACCGUGCAGA